GGAGCCCAAUAGGUGGAAUUUAGAAAACCGGCACAAGCUUAUCCCCGUCCCGGCCGGCGGCUGCGAGGUCUCCCCAUCUCUCCUAAACUUCUCCCGGUCUUCGGCCGGAGCUAUAUGAGGCAGAAACUCAUCCCACGUAUCUGGAUAUAGCAAUUACCCAAACGGUCUCAAAGGUCCGAGCUUCACAUCAGAAAAGCCAUGGCUUCUGAAUCUCCAAGCUCUGCACGUAAAGUUGUUGUUCAUCUGAGAGCCACUGGUGAUGCGCCUAUACUCAAGCAGGCCAAGUUCAAGAUUCCCGGAACUGACAAAUUUGCUAAAGUGAUUGAAUUUCUUCGCAGACAACUACACAGGGACACAUUGUUUGUAUAUGUCAACAGUGCAUUCUCACCAAACCCAGAUGAAUUGGUGAUUGAUUUGUACAAUAAUUUCGGUUUUGAUGGUAAACUGGUGGUAAAUUAUGCUUGUUCGAUGGCAUGGGGUUGACUGUUGGCAACUAGUCUCGGCUGUAUUUGUAGAAUUUUCCACAGAAUUGAGUUGGUACAUAUAUGCUAAACAGUAUUGAAAUCUUGGAGUUUGUGAUUGAAUUAGAAGUGAAAGUUGGUACAUUGUUACCUAUACUUCAUGACCUUAAAGUCUCUUGACUAGUCAUUAGGCUGUCUACGAGAGGUGACAAGCAAACUGAUAGAUGGGCCAGCAUGCUGUCAGUGACUCAAAUUCACUUCCUUACAAAGGGGCACAUGUAGCUUGUAGAUCAAAGAUUCUGAUGGAAACAGUGAGAGGAUUUGAAAGCAAGAGGUUCAUGUACAAUCACUACAUGAUUUUUCCCCCUUUUCCCCCUCAAACUGCAAUGUUCAAGUUAUGCAAUAAUAAAACAAACCUGUGUGACAAGAUUCGAUAAGGCUUGUACAAAUUCACAUGUUUCGGAUGCAUGCCCGUGAUUUGAUGUUGAUUAGCUUCCAACUGUUGAAAUACAUCAUGUGAAAUCCAGAACCCUUUUUCAUAGUCA